CAAGUUGGGUCACUCGAUCCUUGAGUGUUUCCUUAACAACAGCCGCCGCUGACAGCACUCCACUGCUAUCGUCAUGUACAUGGUACAACAAGAAGAGAAUUAGCAGAAAUCGAAAGGUUUUUACCCAAAACUCCGCUCUGAUACCUCCUAAAGCGAAAUAGGCACGCGCACGGGUAGAGAGUCUGCCUGAGUCGUGCGGCCCCAGGUAACGCCUAGUUUAGUGUAGCACCUGGGUUCCGCCUUCUCCUUGCCUUGCCGAGUUUUGCUUCUGAUCUCUCUCUGACUCUCUAGUUCGUUACCUUCUA
rnacentral:lncRNA from 1 species